rnacentral:rRNA from 1 species
CAGUCGCCACGGUAAUACGUAGGGUGCGAGCGUUAAUCGGAAUUACUGGGCGUAAAGCGUGCGCAGGCGGUUAUGUAAGACAGUUGUGAAAUCCCCGGGCUCAACUUGGGAACCGCAUCUGUGACUGCAUAGCUAGAGUACGGUAGAGGGUGAUGGAAUUCCGCGUGUAGCAGUGAAAUGCGUAGAUAUGCGGAGGAACACCGAUGGCGAAGGCAAUCCCCUGGACCUGUACUGACGCUCAUGCACGAAAGCGUGGGGAGCAAACAGGAUUAGAUACCCCUGUAGUCCCUGUCUCUUAUAC